GUGGAGGUGGAGGCAAAAGCCAACGGCGAGGACUGUCUCAACCAGGUGUGCAGGCGAUUGGGAAUCAUAGAAGUUGAUUAUUUUGGGCUGCAGUUCACGGGUAGCAAAGGUGAAAGCUUAUGGCUGAAUCUGAGAAACCGGAUCUCCCAGCAGAUGGAUGGGCUGGCACCUUACCGGCUUAAACUGAGGGUCAAGUUCUUUGUGGAGCCCCAUCUCAUCUUACAGGAGCAGACAAGGUAAAGCGAGGCGGAAACAAACCAAUGUCAAGUACACCUCUGAUUCCAUUUAGAGGCAGCUAUCCUGCCCUCCCAGAGAUGUCCCCUGGCAAAUUUGACUUGGUGCAGAGAAAGUUCUGGAAAAACUUAAAUUCGUUUUUCGAAGCAC
rnacentral:lncRNA from 1 species